AGAGUUUGAUCCUGGCUCAGAUUGAACGCUGGCGGCAUGCCUUACACAUGCAAGUCGAACGGUAACGCGGGGGCAACCCUGGCGACGAGUGGCGAACGGGUGAGUAAUACAUCGGAACAUAUCCAGUAGCGGGGGAUAACCUAUCGAAAGAUGGACUAAUACCGCAUACGAUCUACGGAUGAGAGCAGGGGACCGCAAGGCCUUGCACUAUUGGAGUGGCCGAUGUCGGAUUAGCUAGUUGGUGAGGUAAAGGCUUACCAAGGCGACGAUCCGUAGCUGGUCUGAGAGGACGAUCAGCCACACUGGAACUGAGACACGGUCCAGACUCCUACGGGAGGCAGCAGUGGGGAAUUUUGGACAAUGGGCGCAAGCCUGAUCCAGCCAUGCCGCGUGAGUGAAGAAGGCCUUCGGGUUGUAAAGCUCUUUCGGUGAAGACGAAACGGUUAGCGCUAAUAACGCUGACUAAUGACGGUACUCACAGAAGAAGCACCGGCUAACUACGUGCCAGCAGCCGCGGUAAUACGUAGGGUGCAGGCGUUAAUCGGAAUUACUGGGCGUAAAGCGUGCGCAGGCGGUUUGCUAAGACAGGUGUGAAAUCCCCGAGCUUAACUUGGGAAUUGCGCUUGUAACUGGCAAGCUAGAGUGUGGCAGAGGGGGGUGGAAUUCCACGUGUAGCAGUGAAAUGCGUAGAUAUGUGGAGGAACACCGAUGGCGAAGGCAGCCCCCUGGGUUAACACUGACGCUCAUGCACGAAAGCGUGGGGAGCAAACAGGAUUAGAUACCCUGGUAGUCCACGCCCUAAACUAUGUCAACUAGUUGUCGGGGAAGAAAUUCCUUGGUAACGAAGCUAACGCGUGAAGUUGACCGCCUGGGGAGUACGGCCGCAAGGUUAAAACUCAAAGGAAUUGACGGGGACCCGCACAAGCGGUGGAUUAUGUGGAUUAAUUCGAUGCAACGCGAAAAACCUUACCUACCCUUGACAUGCUAGGAAGCCCGCAGAGAUGUGGGUGUGCCCGAAAGGGAACCUAGACACAGGUGCUGCAUGGCUGUCGUCAGCUCGUGUCGUGAGAUGUUGGGUUAAGUCCCGCAACGAGCGCAACCCUUGCCAUUAGUUGCUACAUUCAGUUGGGCACUCUAAUGGGACCGCCGGUGACAAACCGGAGGAAGGUGGGGAUGACGUCAAGUCCUCAUGGCCCUUAUGGGUAGGGCUUCACACGUAAUACAAUGGUCGGUACAGAGGGCUGCCAACCCGCAAGGGGGAGCUAAUCCCAGAAAGCCGAUCGUAGUCCGGAUUGUAGUCUGCAACUCGACUGCAUGAAGCCGGAAUCGCUAGUAUCGCGGAUCAGCAUGUCGCGGUGAAUACGUUCCCGGGUCUUGUACACACCGCCCGUCACACCAUGGGAGUGGGUUCCACCAGAAGUAGUUAGCCUAACCGCAAGGAGGGCGAUUACCACGGUGAGAUUCAUGACUGGGGUGAAGUCGUAACAAGGUA
rnacentral:rRNA from 1 species